ACAAAAGUGACGGUGUUGGAAAAAAUAAUAUCCUUUAAAGUAUCGUAAGUAGAAAAUUAAGUGGAAGAAGAGAAAGUACAAAAUAUAUCUAGAAUAUCUUCUCCCCGACACCACCACCAACCCAUAAAGGCAAGUCGUACUUUUUUUUUUUUUAUUGUCAUUUAUUAUCAACCAGUCAGUCACAAAGAUAACAUCAAAACGUCAUCGACAUAGAGGACCAGCGUUUGAGGAGAAAGGUAUUGAAACAACAAAUUAUUGAAUGUACCAAUGAACGAAGAGUGUAAACAAUAUAAUAUUUUGUGACAAGCAUUUUGCGCCAAGCCGUUAAAAUCCUCAAACAAAUCUGAUGCUUCAUCAUCUACUAAGCAGACAAGUGUUAUACACAAGACUAUUAUUGUUGGCGGUACAUCUUGCUAGUGUUAUAAUAUUCUAAUGUUAGCGGAAUGACCUGUCCCAACACGUCUAUUAUUCUCAAUACUCGUAAGUCAGUGUCUAGAAUUGGUAUCAAAACUCUACCGUAUAUACCUAAUGAUCCAGAAAAAAGUCAAAAAUCUAUUGCGAUACUUACAAUUGUCUUGAAUGAGGGAGCAAAAUGUCAUUAAAUAUGCAUCACAUUAGAAGAUGUUCAAUUCACCUACACUGUCAAUAAUUCUAAGUCGGGGUUAAACAAUAGAAACAAAAUUCAGUAGUUUUAACGUUUUUAUUAAUGUUGCCAACAAGUUAUAUCAUGUACAU